ensembl:lncRNA
GGGGACUUGAAAUUUGUAUUGGGAGAUUGCCAUAACAUUUUUGGUGCUGUUAAGUUGUCCUGCAGCCGUUUGACACUAGUUCUAACUUCCUUUCAGAUGCAGACAGUUCAAAUCGGUGGCAGAGGGCACCAGCCCUGGGUGAUGAUCUUCCCAUGAGCAGGAGGUCCAGACAGAUAGCAGCAGUCAAGGCCCAGGGUGCCAGGUGAGCAGUGGACAGAAGCAGUUGUUCUUGCUCAGGUCUCAAUUUUUGGUGCAACUGUAAGCAUCCAUUCUUGUUUUUCUGCUUUAGGGAAUCCACUUGGAGUAUGCCUAGCAGCUGUCACCAACCGGCUGAUGGCCCGGGUUUCCUGUGCUUGUGAACCCUCUGGAAGCAUUACAGGACUCUGUGAUGAAGCCUUGAAAUUUUGUAUUUCAAGAUGGCAUCGGGGUAGCCUUUGGCAGUGGCCAAGGAGGCAGACCCUACAAUGACGGUGGCAGCCUCUGAGCAUGGCCAAAGUGUGCAGCCCGAGCAACUGGGCAUUCUUAGGAGAAUGCUGAGCAAGGGAACACAGCCCCGUGACCACAGGACCUUCCCAGCAGGCGAGGCAGCCUUCUCAACCCCAGAUGCUGGAGAGAUAAGUCAAGGGCUAAGGCCCACAGAGGGGAAUCAGCUUUGUGGGCGGGGAUGUGCAAGAAGUGCCCCUCUAGGCCACUUAAAGGGAAAGUGUCUGUUUAGAUCACAGUGCUGAGGUGCACAGGGCAGAGCAGUUCCGGUGUGUGUCCCGUCACUUGUCUCUGGUGCGUUCUGUGUUCUUUGGGUCUCUCGGUCCUUGCAGACGUUGUUCUCAUCUAAAGCUCUCUCUCCCUCUCCUGUCCCCUGGUUUGUCACGUCCUGUGUGUUGUCACGGGUGUGUGCCCACAUUUGUCCCACAACUGCUCUGCCCUGGUGCAUAGCUUGUAACAGCACAAGUUCUGGGGACUUGAAAUUUGUAUUGGGAGAUUGCCAUAACAUUUUUGGUGCUGUUAAGUUGUCCUGCAGCCGUUUGACACUAGUUCUAACUUCCUUUCAGAUGCAGACAGUUCAAAUCGGUGGCAGAGGGCACCAGCCCUGGGUGAUGAUCUUCCCAUGAGCAGGUCAGUCAUUGUUUGCAUUUGCAGGGGAAGCGUAAAUGGGUGACUGUGUUACAGCGGUGUUCUUUGCCUUUAUUUUUAGGAGGUCCAGACAGAUAGCAGCAGUCAAGGCCCAGGGUGCCAGGUGAGCAGUGGACAGAAGCAGUUGUUCUUGCUCAGGUCUCAAUUUUUGGUGCAACUGUAAGCAUCCAUUCUUGUUUUUCUGCUUUAGGGAAUCCACUUGGAGUAUGCCUAGCAGCUGUCACCAACCGGCUGAUGGCCCGGGUUUCCUGUGCUUGUGAACCCUCUGGAAGCAUUACAGGACUCUGUGAUGAAGCCUUGAAAUUUUGUAUUUCAAGAUGGCAUCGGGGUAGCCUUUGGCAGUGGCCAAGGAGGUGCGGCAAGUCACUGAGGUAGGGAGCGGGAGCCAAGGUCCGCUUAGGUUUCAGCAAUGCCGAGUCACUUUGUCUCUCCUUAACCCAGGCAGACCCUACAAUGACGGUGGCAGCCUCUGAGCAUGGCCAAAGUGUGCAGCCCGAGCAACUGGGCAUUCUUAGGAGAAUGGUGAGUAGCAGAAUUGCUGGGUUUUUUCCAUGGUGCAGCUAAGAUCAUGCAGUGAUGUUUGGUGUUCUUGAUUGUAGCUGAGCAAGGGAACACAGCCCCGUGACCACAGGACCUUCCCAGCAGGCGAGGCAGCCUUCUCAACCCCAGAUGCUGGAGAGAUAAGUCAAGGGCUAAGGCCCACAGAGGGGAAUCAGCUUUGUGGGCGGGGAUGUGCAAGAAGUGCCCCUCUAGGCCACUUAAAGGGAAAGUGUCUGUUUAGAUCACAGUGCUGAGGUGCACAGGGCAGAGCAGUUCCGGUGUGUGUCCCGUCACUUGUCUCUGGUGCGUUCUGUGUUCUUUGGGUCUCUCGGUCCUUGCAGACGUUGUUCUCAUCUAAAGCUCUCUCUCCCUCUCCUGUCCCCUGGUUUGUCACGUCCUGUGUGUUGUCACGGGUGUGUGCCCACAUUUGUCCCACAACUGCUCUGCCCUGGUGCAUAGCUUGUAACAGCACAAGUUCUGGGGACUUGAAAUUUGUAUUGGGAGAUUGCCAUAACAUUUUUGGUGCUGUUAAGUUGUCCUGCAGCCGUUUGACACUAGUUCUAACUUCCUUUCAGAUGCAGACAGUUCAAAUCGGUGGCAGAGGGCACCAGCCCUGGGUGAUGAUCUUCCCAUGAGCAGGUCAGUCAUUGUUUGCAUUU